rnacentral:lncRNA from 1 species
CUUUUCAGUUCUGUCUUCCUGAGGCUGCUGUUUCUGGGCAUGGCCAGGGGAUCUUCAGACUUUACAAACCAGUUGUGCAGAGCCAGGCAUUUCAAUAAGGAACAAAAUGCUGAGUAACAACAUGAAGUCAGAGUGUUGCUUGCCAAGAGCUGGGAGGCCUGGGUGGUUUCCCAAUCUUAAAGAAGCAGAAGGAUAUUAAAGUGAGCCUCCCAAAGGAAAACGUGGAUCUACUUACCAACGCAGAAAAUGAUACACACGGAUUCGAUUUAGGCACGCUACAUUCAAAUGACUUGGAAGAGCAGGUUCUCUGAGCCAGGAUACUAAAGUCCCUGUUUAGGAAAGAGCCACGUUGUAUGUUUACCCUACCACAAAGAUACAGUCAUGUGCCUGGGAAAGAUUGAUGCCAGCUCCAGAAAGGCAUCCGAAUGGUCUAAGUAAUGCCAUCCAUCUGUCAGUAAUAGAUUCAGAAAUGGUGCUGGCAGAGGAAACAGCAGCAAUGAUGCUCUGCGAGCCUGACUCAGGGCCAGCAGUGAUGGCAGCCCAAGAAUUCUGGAGGAAAGUGGCUCUGGGAAUUGAACAGUGGCUCAGUGAUGUUGGGGCCACCAAGUCUGCAAUUCUCCCUACCUGUUCUUCAUGGUUGUAAGAUGACUGCUGCAAUUCUCGGCAUCAUGUGCAUGUUAAUGUCAGGAGGAAGAAAGGAAGAGGGAGCACUGGGAUGUUACAUUCAUUUUGUCAGGAAAAGCAAAGCCUUUCCAGACAGCUCCGAAACUUGCUUACCUCUCAUUGGCCAGCACCAUCACUUGACCACUUGUCCACUCCUAGCUGCAAGGAAAGUGGCAAAGUAGAAGGUAUUUGAGAAUGUCUGCUGGGUUAGCCAAAACAAUAGUGACUUCUACACCCAAUUUUCUGGGCACUGCAGAAGUAUCCUUGAGUCCUAUGUGAUCAGAGGGAGAGCAAACCUCAAUAAUGAAACAGAUUCAAUUUCCAUCACCCAGUGAGACACCAUGGGAUUAGAAUAAAUUUUUAAAAAAACAAAUUGAAAAAAAUGCAUUUUUAAAACAACAAAAUCAGAAAGGAUGAAAGGUGAUAUUUCUAGCAUAUCAGUUUGUGGUGGUAAAUUAAUUACCUUAUACAAAGGCCUCAGUGACUUUCUUCUCCUUACCUAACGAAUCAUCUUUAAAAUAAGUAAAAUAAAGAAACAAGAGCAGCAGCAGAUGCUUCCUAAAAAGAAGUUACCAAAUCUGUUCACCACAAACCUGAGAAUUCAACUGUGGACAUUUGGACACCAGCAAUGAACAUGAAACUCAGCUUAUGAGGCAUAUUUGGCUAAAGGUCAAGGUGACUUAAAGUUCAUCAUAGGACAUCUACAAUUUGCAAAGCAGGUGACUGGAUAUGGACUCCUUCCAAGUCUCAUUUAAUUGGAUAAUGCCUACGUUUUAAGUAUCAGAAGUGAGUCUUUCUCUAUUAAAUGAAGUCAGUUCCACUAAAACCUAAAUCUUGUUUGGCAGGCACUCCAUGUUUCUUAAUUUUUAUUCCAUGCUGUAUAUUCUUUUAGACUUGAUUUUCACUUUUUUUUCUUUUUUCCUGUACAUUUAUCUUUGCUGUGAAACAAAGUGCCCUGCUUUGAAGGACAGGUUUGUGGGCUGCUGGUGGUGAGACAACAGCAGUCCUUCCAAGUCUUCCUCCCAUCACUCUGUUAGCUCUCCCUUUGUUUUUAAUUAGCAUUACACCAGUUAAUUCUGUUAUCUCUUAACCCUGGUUCUGCAUCCUCUUCUUCUUUUCUAUUCCUUACUCCGCUCCUGUUUUUUCUUGUUCUGCUUUUCCAAGAAAUGUCUUGUCUCCUCAUCAGUUGACUGUCUUCUCUUUCCAGAGGGACCAUAAAGGUGCCAGCCUAAGGAACACGUAAAACGUGGGAACAGACAAACAAGCUGCUGCCUAUUACAGAGAUAGAUAAUUAACUUUGGACCAUUACAUGCAAUUCAUCAGCUUAUCUUUUUCAAACUUUAUAUAAGAAGUCAUUUCCCAAUGGUAACCACUUGCCAGCUGCAACUUUGACGCAUAUUAUCAGGAUAGGUGAGAUUGAUGGGGGCCCUUUGAACUCUUCCCAGGGAAUUAUCUUUAUAAUGUUACAGUUUUCUCUAUAGCAUGGUCAUAUUGUUAACAUUGGUUAUAAGGUCAUAUGGUUAGUAUGGUUAGUAUUGGUGGCUCACAGCUGUAAUACCAGCACUUUGGGAGGCCAAGGUGGGAGGAUCACUUGAGCCCUGGUGUUCAAAACCAGCUCUGGAAACAUAGCAAGACCUUGUCUCUACAAAAAAAAAUUAAAUAAAUUAAAAGAUUAGCUGGGCAUGGUGGCACAUGCCUGUAGUCCUCACUACUUGGGAAACUAAGGUGGGAGGAUCCUUUGAGCUUGGGAGGUUGAGGCUGCAGUGAGCUGUGGUUGUGCCAUGGCACUCCAGCCUGGGUGACAGAGUGAGAGCCUGUCUCAAAAAAAAAAAAAAAAAAAAAAAAAAGUACCUGUAAGGUCUUUGGGAUUUUGAAGAUGAAAGGUGUUGCAUAAAUUGAAUGAAUUCACUUAGAGAGAUAGAAGGCAACUACAGGGAAUAUUACGUACAUCAUGGAGCGGAAAGCACUAAGGCCUGUGGAAUUAUUCUCAGUGACACGUCGUUGAGGGCAGUGGUCCACAUGUUUUGAACAUGGUUUCUCCCAGGUGAAAAGGAUGAGUAAUUUGUUCUCCUUCACAUGUGUGUAUGUAGGUCUUAUACACAGCAGAUUUGCCACAAAACAAAUGAAGAUUACACUUUGGGCCCCUCUCUCACAUGAGCCCCUUCCAAAGUUCUGUUUGCUAAUUUUACAUUUUGUAAUUUCUUAUUAUUUUUCUUAAAGAAGCCUCCUCCAAUUGCAUAAACUUCAAGCCUCACAAAAUUUGGAUCCAUACCUGAGCCAACAUACAAUACAAUUUUCCAUUUCUAACUUUUAGUUGUACCUAGUGUUUUAUUGGAAAUGAUCAAGUACAUGAGUGGUGUCUUUUUAAAAAAUUUACUUUAUUUGCUUCUCUAGCUUCAUCGUUAGUUAGGCAGUUAAAUCUAACCAUUUGGAGGUAUUUUCAUAUAACCUCCAUUGAGGACAAUUUGGCAAUAGCUUUUAAAAUUAUAAAUAUAUUUGUACAGUUAUAAGCUGCCAUAUCUAUAAAACUAUUUGAUAGACAAAAGUUGAAAACCCUCCAAGAGCUCAUCAAUAAAAGAUUAAAUUAAUUAUGAUACAUCCAUAUGAGCACUGAGCAGCUGUGAAAAAAAUGAGGAAGUAAUUCCUGUGCUGAUAUGGGAAGACUUCCAAGACAUGUUGUUAAGUACAGAAUGGUGUAUACAGUAUGCUAUAUAGUGUGGUAAAAGGUUUAGGGAUAAGCAUUUAUAUUUAUAACUGUUUAUAUUUACAUAAAGUAAUUCUGAAAGGAUACAAAAAAGCUAACAAAAGAGAUUACCUGUGGUAGUGUGGGGCUUGGGGAUUGGAUGGGUGAGAAACAGUAGUGGAAAUGAGAUAUUGUACAGUUUAAGGCAUUAUACACCUAUAAAAACAUGGGAAUGUAUUACCUACUCAAAAAGUGAAAUUAAGAGAGAUACAAGAAACUGUUUGGAUGUUCCUUCCCGUUUCAAUGUAUCUAUAUUUUUUCAGCCCUCAAAGUUAUUAUAAAUGUCAUUAUAAUAACUUCAUAAAGCUUCCCCUAUAAUGAGAAUCUUACCAUUCUCCUAACUCCAAUAGCACUGUAAUCCACCUCUGUUAGGACACAUCACUCUUCAUCAUGUGUGAUUAUUAUUUGCAGAUAUCAUCUUCAAGGCUCUUCUCUAUUUACCACCUGCCAUUCUUGUUCUCACCUCUACAUGACCUUCACAUUUUAUUUCUCUCGGUUUUUUGGACAAGCUACAUUCCCUUCCACAGAGAAGGCUUCCCUGACCCCUUUCACUUGGUUGGAUUACCUUGCUAUUCUUUUCUAUCUUUGUACAUUCCUUUUCAAAAUACUUAUCUCCCUUGUUGUUACCUAUAAUGUCUGUCUUCUUUACUCAAGAGUCUAGACAAAAAGCUCCACGCCAGCCUCGGCUGUGUUUGUAUUGUUUACGUCUGUGUUCCUAGUGCUUAAUAAAAUACCUAGCAAGGGUUAAUAAGUACUUGUUGACUGGAAGGGAAUGACUUCCUUCCCUUACUAGAGAGUGAUUUCCUUACAGGCGAGAUGUGUCAACCUUCUAUAGCCCACAUAAAAUAAAGGACAAUAUCUCCUAUUGGAUAAAAGACAA